UGCUCUCUGGGACUCCAUCUGUUGCCUACUCCAGCCAGUCUCCUGGAGGAAGGGUCUGGAAAAAGAUAUCAAGCGUCCUGGGGGAAGCAGUGUAUAAAGUGUGUGAAGAUAACUUGCCUCAUCGGGUUGCUGAGGGGACUGAGUGAGAAAAUCCACGUAAAGUCCGAGGAGUGCUUUCCCACCAGGUGCUCUCGGUACAUUGAAGGUUCUCACUGAUGGCAAGGGAAAAAACAGAGGAAGAUUCAUGGGCCAGUGUCACUAGAGGAUUCACUGCCGACAGACAUGAGCUGCCUGUUCCAGUUUAGUAUCUCUGCAUCUUCCUGAAGGCUGAGUUUUACUAUUUGACUCCUAUCCCUUUAAACAA